AUGAAGCGCACGAGGAACAAGGAGGUAUUGUCUCUGGCGCUGGCACUGACCACGGACUCAUCAACGUCGUCCACAACGUCAGCGGACUCGGCCGGGUCACCGGCAAAGAAAGCACGGCGACGCGAGAGGGGCGCCAUGGUGGCGACUUCGGGUGAGGGGGAGUUCGUGUGCAAUACGUGCGGCCGUGCCUUCGCGUCCUUCCAGGCGCUCGGCGGGCACCGGACGAGCCACCUUCGGGGCCGCCACGAGCUGGAGCUCGGCGUCGGCAUCGCCAGGGCCAUCAGAGAACGGAGAAGACGGGAGAACAAGCAGCACGAGGCAAUCAAGGAACGGAAGAAGCAGCGGCACGAAUGCCACAUCUGCGGGCUCGGGUUUGAGAUGGGCCAGGCGCUGGGGGGACACAUGAGGCGGCACCGCGAGGAGAUGGCACUUAGCGGCGCAAACGACCGGAGGGUUGCGGAUCAGGAUGUGGCGGGGCAUCAUGCCGCCGCCGACCAGCCCCCGGUCUUGCUCGAGCUGUUCGUCUAG
rnacentral:rRNA from 1 species